rnacentral:rRNA from 1 species
AACGAACGCUGGCGGCAGGCUUAACACAUGCAAGUCGAGCGCCCCGCAAGGGGAGCGGCAGACGGGUGAGUAACGCGUGGGAACGUACCCUUUGCUACGGAAUAGCUCCGGGAAACUGGAAUUAAUACCGUAUGUGCCCUACGGGGGAAAGAUUUAUCGGCAAAGGAUCGGCCCGCGUUGGAUUAGCUAGUUGGUGGGGUAAUGGACUACCAAGGCGACGAUCCAUAGCUGGUCUGAGAGGAUGAUCAGCCACAUUGGGACUGAGACACGGCCCAAACUCCUACGGGAGGCAGCAGUGGGGAAUAUUGGACAAUGGGCGCAAGCCUGAUCCAGCCCUGCCGCGUGAGUGAUGAAGGCCUUAGGGUUGUAAAGCUCUUUCACCGGAGAAGCUAAUGACGGUAUCCGGAGAAGAAGCCCCGGCUAACUUCGUGCCAGCAGCCGCCGUAAGAC